rnacentral:rRNA from 1 species
UACAGAGGGGGCAAGCGUUAUUCGGAAUUAUUGGGCGUAAAGGGCGCGUAGGCGGCUUUUCAAGUGACGGGUGAAAUCCCUCGGCUUAACCGAGGAACUGCCUGUCAGACUGGAAGGCUUGAGACCGGGAGAGGUGAGUGGAAUUCCCAGUGUAGCGGUGAAAUGCGUAGAUAUUGGGAGGAACACCAGUGGCGAAGGCGGCUCACUGGACCGAAACUGACGCUGAGGCGCGAAAGCGUGGGGAGCAAACAGG